GUCGACGCCGACGUGCGCGUGCCUUCCACUCCGCAGCGGGACCGUCUGGUUCCUCUCGUUUCCGUCCAGGUCGCAUGCACCGCGCCCCCGGCUUGAUGUUUGUUCUCGUCAGCUAUCGCGUGUACCAGCAGCAGUCAAGUUGCUGCCUUUGUUCAUCUGGUUCUAGUACUUCCCACGUCGACGUGAUCUGAAGCAAGCUAGCUGGUUCGUUUCCUUGUUCCAAACCCGGAGGGAUCCUGCAUGCCACAGUGUCCUGUUCCCGUCUCGUUCGUGUCAGCAGCCACCAAGGUGCAAGUUUGAGCACCUAAUGUACUGCGGCGACCACUCCUUGACGUGAAUCAGUUUGCAGCAUACUGGCGGAUCCAUCUGUCAUUGACCUGUGCUAGCCCUGCCUUCGCUGAGAAGACCCAUACCAGCGUGGCCACAUCAGUUCAUCCAAUCAGCUCCUACCGGUCCCACCGUCAGCCACUCAGGCUUGUUCUGCCUGGCAUUUGCUUCUUCCCGGAUAGGAUCGCGAAGUGGUGUUGUGAGAUACGAC